rnacentral:rRNA from 1 species
CGGCGGACGGGUGAGUAAUGCAUAGGAAUCUGCCCGGUAGUGGGGGAUAACGUGGGGAAACCCACGCUAAUACCGCAUACGUCCUACGGGAGAAAGCGGAGGAUCUUCGGACUUCGCGCUAUCGGAUGAGCCUAUGUCGGAUUAGCUAGUUGGUAAGGUAACGGCUUACCAAGGCGACGAUCCGUAGCUGGUCUGAGAGGAUGAUCAGCCACACUGGGACUGAGACACGGCCCAGACUCCUACGGGAGGCAGCAGUGGGGAAUAUUGGACAAUGGGCGAAAGCCUGAUCCAGCCAUGCCGCGUGUGUGAAGAAGGCUUUCGGGUUGUAAAGCACUUUCAGCGAGGAAGAAAGCCUGUCGGUUAAUACCCGGCAGGAACGACAUCACUCGCAGAAGAAGCACCGGCUAACUCCGUGCCAGCAGCCGCGGUAAUACGGAGGGUGCGAGCGUUAAUCGGAAUUACUGGGCGUAAAGCGCGCGUAGGUGGCUUGGCACGCCAGGUGUGAAAGCCCCGGGCUCAACCUGGGAACGGCAUCUGGAACGGCCAAGCUAGAGUGCAGGAGAGGAAGGUGGAAUUCCCGGUGUAGCGGUGAAAUGCGUAGAGAUCGGGAGGAAUACCAGUGGCGAAGGCGGCCUUCUGGCCUGACACUGACACUGAGGUGCGAAAGCGUGGGUAGCAAACAGGAUUAGAUACCCUGGUAGUCCACGCCGUAAACGAUGUCGACUAGCCGUUGGGACCUUUAAGGACUUAGUGGCGCAGUUAACGCGAUAAGUCGACCGCCUGGGGAGUACGGCCGCAAGGUUAAAACUCAAAUGAAUUGACGGGGGCCCGCACAAGCGGUGGAGCAUGUGGUUUAAUUCGAUGCAACGCGAAGAACCUUACCUACCCUUGACAUCCUGCGAACCCGGAAGAGAUUCCGGGGUGCCUUCGGGAACGCAGUGACAGGUGCUGCAUGGCUGUCGUCAGCUCGUGUUGUGAAAUGUUGGGUUAAGUCCCGUAACGAGCGCAACCCUUGUCCUUAUUUGCCAGCGAUUCGGUCGGGAACUCUAAGGAGACUGCCGGUGACAAACCGGAGGAAGGUGGGGACGACGUCAAGUCAUCAUGGCCCUUACGGGUAGGGCUACACACGUGCUACAAUGGCCGGUACAAAGGGUUGCGAGACCGCGAGGUGGAGCGAAUCCCAUAAAGCCGGCCUCAGUCCGGAUCGGAGUCUGCAACUCGACUCCGUGAAGU